CGCGCUAGGAGGCAAAAAGGUUUUUUUACUGUUUUCCUUUUUUCAUAUUACGAAAGUUAAAGUGUUGAAGAAGUCACUCAAUAGAAUAAACAACAUUUUUAGGGUCAAUAAAUACUUAUAAUUUGUCAGCAAAGUCGGCUUGUUUUAGUGAUUCUUACAGCCGGGUUUUGGAGGCGUGAUGCGGGUGCAGUUUAAUUAGCAUGUUUGAUUUCGUUGGCUAUUGUCACUUUGUUUCGGUCAAGCCACCGCCCAUAAAUAAAGCCGUGUGGUAGUAGCCUAUGUUUGUUUACUGUGUGAGGUUGCUAAAAUGGCGGACGCUCAAUCAGUAGGCACCGUCGGCCAAUUGGGCUGCUAACAAGCCGCUGGGACGACACAACUGAUUGGCCAGCUCUGGAAUUAAAGGACCGUUUGAGCUUAACGAGAGGAGGAACUUGCUGUUUCUCCAUUACCCGACCGCCUCGACCGAGAAAGAGAACCCAGGUACUGGCUGAGUAGGAGGAUGCUGCAGUAACUCAUGUGAAUAAACACAUCUGAAAUGUGUAGCAUUUGUCAAGACUGCGGUGAGGUAGGCCACAUCCAAGGUUGUCUCCCCUGCCGUCAUGCCAACCCCACAGGUUUUUAGGUACCGCAGUCACUGCAGGGCGAAUGACUGAGAGAGGAGCAGUAACAUUGUCCCCUGUAGGGGUGAAUCUUCAGAAGGCCGGGUCCACUUACAUUAUCGCACACUUCUAUAAGCCUUCGCCAGAGCAUGUGGCCUUGUACGGCAGCAACAGUCCUGGGACCCGCUAUGACACCAGGCGUGGACAGAACCUUUAACUAUAACUCAACUGCUCUACAACAUUACGAUGCCUGUACAGCACAAAAGUAUGACUACGACCACUGUUUUGGAGUUAAGCAGAAGAUUUGUGUUUCGUAGCAAGUUUCUACAAGUGUCUUUUGAAAAUGUUAUUAGUGUAACUUGCUACUAGAUAGCUGUAUGACUAUUUUUACUGCAAUGAGGAGUUAAUGAUUUUGUAUACUACAUGAGUCUAUAGCAAGCAAAAUGUAAUUCAAAAUUUCUGACAGUAAACUCAGAUAGUAAAUUGAGCUUGUCAUCACAAUGACAAGGACGGAAGGUCAAAGUUUUCAGUUACCUUGGUAAUUGUGCAAGCUUUUUUAAUGGCCAGUUAGAAAUUCUAUGGCACUUAUAAAGUUCCCUCGAUUCAAAGCAGCGUUUGCAUUUUUAAAGCCUUAUAGUUUAAAAGUAUAAAAAGAAUCACUAACAAGCAACAUAGGUCAGGAAGUUUAUGGUUGUGAAAUCUAUGUCUAGAAUUAUAACUGGAAUAAUAAUUACAAUAAGAACUAUUCUUUUAAAGAACUGUAGUUUGUGCCUUCAGCAAGCAAACUAAUUAAAGGAAACAUAAUGGGAUAAUUAAAAUGGAAACAAUUAAUGGAAACAUAAUGUACUGCAUAUCAGUUGCUUGUCACACUCUGAUUCUGCUCAGUCUGUCCUUGCUUCAUCGGGAAAAUUUAAUAUUCAAGUAGUUAUGCCUCAUUGGGCUUAUAAUGUUUUCCCUCUGAUUUCGUUUGAAACUUUUAAUAAUUUGAGGACACCUUGGGCCUCUUUCACAAAACAUUUUUGAAGUUCCAAUGAGAAACCAAUGUGGGGAUCGUGAAACACGGAAACAUGCACAGAACGUCAAUUUUGUGUACAUCUCAGGUGUAUCGGGUGACGAAUGCCGAUUUUUAAUAAAUUGGCUGGGCGUGCCUGUUCAUGUAAUUAGUACAAUGGAACUUAGAAACUCCCUGUAGUCCCAUAAAAGGCAUGCCGACUUCAGGGUCAUGUGCAAACCUCAGCCAAUCAUCGCUCUCCACAAACAUACCUGGUCCCUAAAGAUUUGCUCCCUCUCCAAGGCACAAUUAGCCACGUAAUUCAGAAGCAGCAAAUACACUUGUUAACGGCUGCGUUUGACUACACACUUGUGGGUCUUGUAAAUAUAGUCACUUUCAUCAAUAAAGGAAAUGUGCUCCCAACAAAGUAUCGCAAAUUAAAACAAAUUAUUUGAAUGUACUAGGUGUUUAGAAAAAAAUUGUCAUAAACUGAAAUAAAAUUAAAAUAAGGCUUCGAAAAAAUGAACUAAACUAGGACUAGAAAAGCUCUUAAAACUAACUAAAACUCAACUGACAAUUUAAAAAUGUUUUUUAAAUAAAUGAAAUAAUUUUAAAAAUGUGUUUUUUCUUUACUCAGAUUUCCUUUGUCUAACAUUACAUUUUGUCCAAAGAUGAAACCAUUUUGUGUGACAAACACGCAAUAAUAUGAAAUCAGGAAGGGGACAAUUUUUUUUUUAACGGCAUGUAUUCUGUUUGAAGAAUAUUAUGUGUUGGCAAACCAAGUUCAAGUCUGAAUAUAUAAUUAGACAUUUUUCAAUUGAAGUAAUUAGAGAGUAUGGAGCUCUGAGCAUCCUCUACUGCACCCAUGAUGAUGGUUGGAAU